GGCUCGUUGGUCUAGGGGUAUGAUUCUCGCUUAGGGUGCGAGAGGUCCGGGUUCAAAUUCCAAGACGAGCCC
rnacentral:tRNA from 1 species